rnacentral:rRNA from 1 species
AUUGAACGCUGGCGGCAUGCCUUACACAUGCAAGUCGAACGGUAACAGGUCUUCGGAUGCUGACGAGUGGCGAACGGGUGAGUAAUACAUCGGAACGUGCCCGAUCGUGGGGGAUAACGAAGCGAAAGCUUUGCUAAUACCGCAUACGAUCUACGGAUGAGAGCAGGGGACCGCAAGGCCUUGCGCGAACGGAGCGGCCGAUGGCAGAUUAGGUAGUUGGUGGGAUAAAAGCUUACCAAGCCGACGAUCUGUAGCUGGUCUGAGAGGACGACCAGCCACACUGGGACUGAGACACGGCCCAGACUCCUACGGGAGGCAGCAGUGGGGAAUUUUGGACAAUGGGCGAAAGCCUGAUCCAGCCAUGCCGCGUGCAGGAUGAAGGCCUUCGGGUUGUAAACUGCUUUUGUACGGAACGAAAAGACUCUGGUUAAUACCUGGGGUCCAUGACGGUACCGUAAGAAUAAGCACCGGCUAACUACGU